CCACUGUUCUCCAUGCCAUCCAGUCACGAUCCAGUGAUCAAAAUGUUCCAUUGUCUUUUCAUUGUUUUGAAAAUCCCACUGUUCUCCAUGCCAUCCAGUCAUGAUCCAGUGAUCAAAAUGUUCCAUUGUCUUCUCAUUGUUGUGAAAAUCCCACUGUUCUAUACCAUCCAGUCGCGAUUCAGUUAUCAAAAUGUUCCAAUUCUUUCAUUGUUUUGAAAAUCCUGCACUGACCGAGCUCUCGCCUACAUUGACCACAAUGCAUCAGAUUGAUCAAAAUGGCGUAGGUUUUGGAUGGAAAUGGUCUAUUGACUAGGACUUUAAAUUAAAUUUCCCGUGAGGUGGGCAGCUUAAACCUUUGUAUGGUAGUGGCAUAAUUUUUUGAUAAGUUUGAUGAUAUAUAAUCUGUGCAUAUGUUAAUUUUGAGUAGUUGAUAAAUAUACUGUAAAAGAAUGUGAAUAUAAUAAUUGUCCAAACUGUAAACACAUGGGAAUAUUUUAGCCGAAUCAAAUGCUAUUUUUUUGUAAAACUUUCAUAAAUAGUCUGUCGCACCGGAAAUGUCUCGAAGCAGAUAGCUGGGAGUAAGGCAGAAGCUUUUUUUUGCCUGUUUUGGCAUGUAGUCAUUUGAGAUAUGAUCUUGAAACCCAUGCAGCAAGCGUCAAAGCAAUGAGCUACGAUUAUAGUUCAGACGACUUCACUGCGCAGAUAUCGUUUGCAAUUUGUGUAGUAAAGAGUAUGGUUUCAAGUGCAAUUUGGAAAAAAAACCAGCACGAGUGAGUUUCUCAAAGACUAUCAAAAUUGCACAAGUCCGAAGGACGAGUCUUUGAAAAACUCACAACAGGUGUCGUUUUUUCAAAUUGCACUAGAAAACCAUACUAUUACUUAUUAAUAAUAUACAUGAAAAAAUUAAUACAAUCACUCUUAAAAAUUCCUAAAUGUUUUUUUUUUAUUAUUUCCGCUGGAAAUUGCUUAUGUUAUUGUUUCAUAAUAUUUUAAGCCAAUCAGAAAGCCUAAAUAGUCAAUGAAAUUUGCACUGUAUUUCUAGAAAAUUGAACUGCUCUUGGCCAAUCAGAAUUGAGAAAUUUUUUCAUGUAUAUUAUGCUUAUUAACAGUACACUUGAUAAGAGGCUUUUCAUAUGAACCGGGGUGAAUCGUUUCACGAAUUUUUUUCUUACAUAAACGAUUGUUUUAAUGAACUAUACUGGGCCAGCCCGACUCCAUAUAAACAGCUCCUAAUUGGCUAAUAUUUAAUAGACUGUACUGUAAUAAACAGCAAAGUUUAUUCGAUGAUUGAUGCCAUUGCUCGAUUAAAUUUGCAUGAAGAAAAAGUUUCUUGAACAAACUUGUUCGCCGAAAUUCUAGACUAUAUCUCGAUUGACUACGGUUUGCAAUUUUUGCAUUUUAUGGUAAAAAAGUGACAGAAAAUAGACAAGAUUCAGUUCCCAGUUGUCUGAUUUUUCUAGGCAAUUCCUGUGCGACUAAAAGUAGAUGAUUCUAUUCUAUGACUCUAAUACAAUAAUUUAGCAGACGUAAUUGACACUGAUAACUAAUUAACGUAUUCUAAUUCAGGACUUGGAAUUAAUUAGCCAAGAACCGUGCAUAAAUAUCUUGUUAUAGUUGUGUAUUACAGUCAUCGUUUUCUUGAGAUCUCAAAUGAUUUAUAGAUGUCUGUAUAGGUUUUGAGGUAAAGUGUGUAGUGGUUAGGUAGUUUAUCAGUUUUCAAUUCAAUGUAUUAAUCCUCGCACAGGGUAAUGAAUAAAAAGCAAUUAUAUAAA